rnacentral:sRNA from 1 species
CUGUUACCUAAAAGCAUUGGACCAGAGGAGUUUUAGAGCUAAGUUUGGAGCCACGAGAAGGAAUUCUAAGGCAGAGGAACGUCGGGGAACCGUUUGAAAGCAAGCUUAGGAGAAAACCAAGUCGGUGAUAUGCCGGUGGAGCAAGCCUUAGAUGGAGGAUCGACUGAAGAAUAGUUUUAAUAAGGAAACCUAUGUUUUUAUUUCUGUUUUAAGGUGUGGAGUGUAAUUAGUUUGAAUUAACAGUGAGGGUUUGUAUAAUAAUGAGGAAAACUCUUAUUCCUCCUUCUAUCAACUGUUCUAUUGUAUCAAUGAUGUAAGAACUCUAUUAUAGUUUGAUGCUAUAAUUAUGGGGAUGUUACACUAUGCGAGGGGUUUGGGGUCUGAUACAAUUCACAGUUUAUUCGCAUAACGAGUUUAAUUGCUAUGCGAGUGGUUACAAGGAGUUGGUCUCUGUCUAAGGAUUCACAUGGCUAGUUGGGUCGCUGUGCGAGAAGCUUAUGGUUUCGCUAUGCAAAGGUGUGCGCUAUGCGAGGGGUUUAGUUCUAGUUCAAUUCUCUUUUGAUCUUAAGUUG